AGCUCCAAUAGCGUAUAUUAAAGUUGUUGCGGUUAAAAAGCUCGUAGUUGGAUUUCUGCGAGGGGCAGCCGGUCCGCUCUAUGAGCGUGUAUCUGGAUUGACCUUUGCAUCCUCUCGAAAAACGUUUCUGCGCUUGAUUGCGUGGUGCGGGGUUCGGGACUUUUACUUUGAGGAAAUUAGAGUGUUCACGGCAGGCGAUCGCCUUGAAUAUAUUAGCAUGGAAUAAUAAUAUAGGAUCUUGGUUCUAUUUUGUUGGUUUCUAGGACUAAGAUAAUGAUUAAUAGGGACAAUUGGGGGCAUUCGUAUUAACACGUCAGAGGUGGAAUUCUUGGAUUGUGUUACGACGAACUACUGCGAAAGCAUUUGCCAAGGAUGUUUUCA
rnacentral:rRNA from 1 species